rnacentral:rRNA from 1 species
UAGUCCACGCCGUAAACGAUGAGAACUAGUUAUUGGAGGUAUUGAUCCCCUCAGUAACGCAGCUAACGCAUUAAGUUCUCCGCCUGGGGAGUACGGUCGCAAGAUUAAAACUCAAAGGAAUUGACGGGGGCCCGCACAAGCGGUGGAUCAUGUGGUUUAAUUCGAAGCAACGCGAAGAACCUUACCUGGGUUUGAAAUCCCGCGAACUAAGCAGAGAUGCUAUGGUGCCCUUCGGGGAACGCGGUGACAGGUGCUGCAUGGCUGUCGUCAGCUCGUGUUGUGAAAUGUUGGGUUAAGUCUCGCAACGAGCGCAACCCCUAUCAUUAGUUGCCAGCAUUAAGUUGGGCACUCUAAUGAGACUGCCCGGGUUAACCGGGAGGAAGGUGGGGAUGGCGUCAAGUCCUCAUGGCCCUUAUAUCCAGGGCUACACACGUGAUACAAUGGCACAUACAGAGGGAUGCGAACUCGCGAGGGGGAGCGAAAUCUCAAAAAGUGUGUCUCAGUCCGGA